CAGCCGCCGCGGUAAUACGUAGGGUGCGAGCGUUAAUCGGAAUUACUGGGCGUAAAGCGUGCGCAGGCGGUUGUGUAAGACAGGUGUGAAAUCCCCGGGCUUAACCUGGGAACUGCGCUUGUGACUGCACAGCUAGAGUAUGGCAGAGGGGGGUAGAAUUCCACGUGUAGCAGUGAAAUGCGUAGAGAUGUGGAGGAAUACCGAUGGCGAAGGCAGCCCCCUGGGCCAAUACUGACGCUCAUGCACGAAAGCGUGGGGAGCAAACAGGAUUAGAUACCCCUGUAGUCCCUGUCUCUUAUAA
rnacentral:rRNA from 1 species